rnacentral:rRNA from 1 species
UACGGAGGGGGCUAGCGUUGUUCGGAAUUACUGGGACGUAAAGCGCACGUAGGCGGCUUUGUAAGUUAGAGGUGAAAGCCCGGGGGCUCAACUCCGGAAUUGCCUUUAGACUGCAUCGCUAGAAUUGUGGAGAGGUAAGUGGAAUUCCGAGUGUAGAGGUGAAAUUCGUAGAUAUUCGGAAGAACACCAGUGGCGCAAGGCGACUUACUGGACACAUAUUGACGCUGAGGUGCGAAAGCGUGGGGAGCAAACAGG